AACUGCGAUAAGUAAUGUGAAUUGCAGAAUUCAGUGAAUCAUCGAGUCUUUGAACGCACAUUGCGCCCCCUGGCAUUCCGGGGGGCAUGCCUGUCCGAGCGUCAUUGCUGCCCUUCAAGCCCGGCUUGUGUGUUGGGUCGUCGUCCCCUCCGGGGGACGGGCCCGAAAGGCAGCGGCGGCACCGCGUCCGGUCCUCGAGCGUAUGGGGCUUUGUCACCCGCUCGAUAAGGACCGUCCGGGCGCCAGCCGGCGUCUCCAACCUUUUUUUCUCAGGUUGACCUCGGAUCAGGUAGGGAUACCCGCUGAACUUAAGC
rnacentral:misc_RNA from 1 species